rnacentral:lncRNA from 1 species
CUCCUUCACAAAUGAUUAGACACAAUCUCCUUAUUUCUGUCCUUGUGAUGGUGAGUUCUCUUCAUGAUUUUGGAGCAGUGAGAUUGAAUGGAUACUGGUCUCCUGGGUUUUGGACUUGCAUUGGUCCUGUGGUCCCAUCUGUGUUAUUUUGCUGGGAAAUUUCUUCCCGUUGGACUGAGAAAGCUUACCCAAUGGGUGUACCAUCAUUGUGUCUUAAAAGAACACCCUUUUAAAUUCAGGGACUUAUAGGCAAAAGGGACUGUAGGCUUGUCUCAGAUGAGACGUUGAACCUUUUACAUUUGAGUUAAUGCUGGAAUGAGUUAAGACUUUUGGCAACUUUUGAAAAGGUGUGAUUGUAUUUUGCUCUGUGAGAAGGACAUGAGAUUCGGAGGGGUCAGGGUCAGAAUAACAUGGUUUGGCUGUGUUUCCCUACAGAAACUCAUGUGAAUUGUAAUCUUGAAUGUUGGAGAUGGGGCCUGGUGGAAGGUGAUUUAACCAUGGAUGGGAGGGGGUUGGAAUUGGAAGGAAAUAAAGUGGAUAGUGUUGGGAGGAGUGGGUUGUCAGUAGGGUGGUGAGAGGAUGGUGGGUAUUAGGAAGCGGGAGUAGCCUGCUGCAGAGUCACAUCCUUAUGGAAAACCUCUGCUAGGGCAGUGCUCCUGUGGCUUUGCAGGCUUUAGCCCCCAUGGCUGCUCUCAUGGGCUGGGCUGGUGUUGAGUGCUUUUGCAUACUGAGGGUGCGGGCUGUUGGUGGGCUUAUGAAUCUGGGGUCUGGAGGAUGGUGGCCUCCUGUGUGGGGGCUCCAAGCCCAUAUUUCCCUUCUGCACUGCCAUAGUAGAAGUUUCCCAAGAGGCUCUGCCUCUGCAGGAGGCUUCUGCCUGGAAACAGUAGGCGGUGGUGUGUGUGGUGGAUCCUUCACCAGUGGUUAAUCUUCUUGAUGCUGAUCUGAUAGUGAGUUCUCAUGUGAUCUGGUUGUAUAAUGGGCUGUGGCACCUCUUUUCUCUCUGUGUCUUGCUUCUAUUUCUGCCAUAUGAAACAUCUCAUUGCCACUUGGCCUUCUGAUGUGGUUAGGAGGGGCCUGAUCAGUGUGGGCCUGCUCAGUGGACCUAGUCAGUUGGGACUUGGUCAGUGAGGCCUGUUUAGUGGGAGCCUGGCCAGCAGGGGUCUGCUUAGGGAGGGUCUCAUUAGGGGGAUCCAGUAGUGGGGGUUUUGGCGAGUGGGGACCUAUUGGCAGCCAGUUGUUUGGUGUCUGGUCAGUGCAGACCUGGGCUGUGGGGCUUGACCAGUGGCGACCUGGUCAGCUGGGCUUAGUGGUGGCCUGGUCAGCAUGGGCUGGGUCACUGGUGACCAGGUCAAGGGCUGCUAUUCAGUGGAGGACUGGUCACAUGGGACCUAGUCAGCAGGGCCUGGUGGGCUUGUCCUCAUCAGUGAGGCCCUUGUCAGUGGGGCCCUGAUCAGGGCAGCCUGGUCAGUGGAACCUCAUCAGUGGGGGCCUGGUCAGUGAUGACUUGGUCAGUGGUGGCUUUUGUACCACUGGUCUACGGGGUGACCUGGUCAGCGGGGACCUGAGCAGUCGGUGCCUGUUCAGUGGGGCCUACUCACUAGGGUCCCAGUCAGGGGCAUCUGCUCACCUCAGGCCUGGUUAGUAGGGGCCUGAUCAGUGGCAGCCUGUUCCCUGGAGGCCUGGUCAGUGGGGCCUCAUCUGUGGGGCCAGGUAGUGGGGUCAUGAUCAGUGGAAUCUGAUCAGUGAUGCCUUGUCAGUAAUGACCUUGUCAGUGAGGCCUUGUCAGUGGGGCCUUGUCAGUAAGGACCUGGUCAGUGAGGCCUUGUCAAUAAGGUCCUGAUCAGUGAGGUCUCAGUUAGGACCUGGUCCAUGAGGCCUUGUCAGUGAGGCCUUGUCAGUAAGGACCUGGUCAGUGAGGCCUUGUCAAUAAGGUCCUGGUCAGUGAGGACUUGUCAGUAAGGAGCUCAUCCAUGAGGCCUUGUCAAUAAGGUCCUGGUCAGUGAGGCCUUGUUAGUAAGGACUUUGUCAGUGAGGCCUUGUCAGUGAGGCCUGGUCAGUAAGGACCUGGUCAGUGAGGCCUUGUCAGGGAGGCCUGGUCAGUAAGGUCCUGUUCAGUGAGGCCUUGUCCAUGAGGCCUUGUCAGUAAGGUCCUGGUCAGUGGAGUCAUGGUCAUUGUUGGCCUGGAAGCAGGGGUCUUGUUAGUGGGUCCUGGUGAUGGGGAUCUAAUCAGUGAGGGUGUGGUCAGGGAAGACCUGAUGUGUGGGGUCUGGUCAGCAGGAACCUGGUCAGUGGGGACUGCUGAGUGCUGCUUGGAGAAGCCAGGUGCAUUGCACGUUAUCGAGGGCCCUCUGGACAGCUGGGAUGGCCCAGUGAUGCCCAACGGCCUGGUCAAAAGUGGACAAAGCAGUUGUUUGGAUGGACCUGGGAGAUGUUGCUCAGAGAUUCUGACAGGACAAAGGUGAAGAAAGGGUCAGAGUGUCUGGAGAGAUGGUCACAGUCUAUGGGCUGCACAGGAUGGAGAAAGCCAGGGAACAGGCAGGGUGGGCAGUGCGGUGCAGGGAGAGGUAGGUGCAUGGUGGGACGUC